rnacentral:tRNA from 1 species
GGGGUUGUGGCUCAGUGGUAGCGUGCUUGCCUGGCAUGCAUGAGGCACUGGGUUCGAUUCUCAGUACCA